UACGGAGGAGGCAAGCGUUAUCCGGAAUUAUUGGGCGUAAAGCGUCCGCAGGUGGCUAUUCAAGUCUGCGGUCAAAGACUGGGGCUUAACCCUGGAAAGGCCGUGGAAACUGAAGAGCUAGAGUGCAGUAGGGGUAGAGGGAAUUCCCGGUGUAGCGGUGAAAUGCGUAGAUAUCAGGAAGAACACCAGUGGCGAAGGCGCUCUACUGGGCCGUAACUGACACUGAGGGACGAAAGCUAGGGGAGCGAAAGGG
rnacentral:rRNA from 1 species